rnacentral:rRNA from 1 species
GAGUUCCUACGGGGGGCAGCAGUGGGGAAUAUUGCACAAUGGGGGAAACCCUGAUGCAGCGACGCCGCGUGAGUGAAGAAGUAUUUCGGUAUGUAAAGCUCUAUCAGCAGGGAAGAAAAUGACGGUACCUGACUAAGAAGCCCCGGCUAACUACGUGCCAGCAGCCGCGGUAAUACGUAGGGGGCAAGCGUUAUCCGGAUUUACUGGGUGUAAAGGGAGCGUAGACGGCGGAACAAGUCAGAAGUGAAAACCCGGUGCUCAA